GGCUCAGUGGACAGAGUGUCAGCCUGCAAACUGAUGGGUCCCAGGUUCGAUUCCUGG
rnacentral:tRNA from 1 species